rnacentral:rRNA from 1 species
UACGGAGGGUGCAAGCGUUAUCCGGAUUCACUGGGUUUAAAGGGUGCGUAGGUGGAUCUAUAAGUCAGUGGUGAAAGCCCCGAGCUCAACUUGGGAAUUGCCAUUGUUACUGUAGAUCUUGAGUGCGGUUGAGGUAGGCGGAAUGUUGCAUGUAGCGGUGAAAUGCUUAGAUAUGCAACAGAACACCGAUUGCGAAGGCAGCUUCCCAAGCCGAUACUGACACUGAUGCACGAAAGCGUGGGGAUCAAACAGG